rnacentral:rRNA from 1 species
CCUACGGGAGGCAGCAGUGAGGAAUAUUGGUCAAUGGGCGUAAGCCUGAACCAGCCAAGUCGCGUGAGGGAUGAAGGUUCUAUGGAUCGUAAACCUCUUUUAUAAGGGAAUAAAGUGCGGGACGUGUCCCGUUUUGUAUGUACCUUAUGAAUAAGGAUCGGCUAACUCCGUGCCAGCAGCCGCGGUAAUACGGAGGAUCCGAGCGUUAUCCGGAUUUAUUGGGUUUAAAGGGGGCGCAGGCGGCCUUUUAAGUCAGCGGUGAAAGUCUGUGGCUCAACCAUAGAAUUGCCGUUGAAACUGGGAGGCUUGAGGAUGUUUGAGGCAGGCGGAAUGCGUGGUGUAGCGGUGAAAUGCUUAGAUAUCACGCAGAACCCCGAUUGCGAAGGCAGCGUUCUGGAGUGAAACUGACGCUGAGGCACGAAAGCGUGGGGAGCGAACAGGAUUAGAUACCCCAGUAGUC